UUAAGAGACAAUAAAAGGAACAUUACAAGCACAAUAAGCAUAUAGUGCCCUUGCAACAUCCCACAAUAAGUAGACACACCACUUAAAGUUUCAGUAGCCUGCUACGCCUGGCUGCACUUAUUGACAUAGACCACUCAGCUGAUCCUCUCAGCCAACGACUGCAGCCCUGAACGCUGGAGCUUAGCUCAGUAGAGCUUACUGGAAGCCUUGCAGGAGCUUUUUGUAGCAGGAGUGUUGGCAGCAAGUGGAACCCAGGACACCAUAGCCACUACAGUAGCUUAGUGGAGCUAACUGGAAACUUUAGAGGAGCUUUUUACAGCAGAGGAGUGUUGGCAGCAACACUAUAGCCACUAAAGUAGCUUAGUGGAGCUAACUGGAAACCUUAGAGGAGCUUUUUACAGCAGAGGAGUGUUGGCAGCAACACUAUAGCCACUACAGUAGCUUAGUGGAACUAACUGGAAACCUUAGAGGAGCUUUUUACAACAGAUGAGUGUUGGCAGCAAGUGGAACCCAGGACACCAUAACCACCACAACAGUUGCAGUGGCCAUGGUGCCUGGAGAGUUCUUUAACUAUGCAAGAGUUUUAUCAACACAAGGUAACUACUCUGACACUUUUAUGGGGAUUAUCCUAUUUGCAGUGAAGCUGUAUCACUGCCAAUAUACCACAGAAUUACCAUUUUGGAAACACACCUCUACAUGUUUCAAUAUCCCCAAACAUGGUUAAAAGAGAAGCUAUAGAUGCAAUCCUGGUUACUAUACGUCUUCUCUAUGGAUUUACAGCUAGAAGAAAAUCAUUGCACUAGAAUUACAGUUCUCAACUUUAAUAAUUAAUAAAGUUAUUAUUGAAAACAUUUUUUUUUUUGGUAUUGGUGUAUUAAACAAAAAAAUCCACAUAGAGGUUUAUAAUAUUUUCUCCAAAAUCCCUGAAGAUAUUACAAAUGCAUUCUGUCCGCCCCUCAGUACAGACUGCAUAAGUGGUGAUGUAAUUUACUUAAUGGCAUAGGUCUCUUUGCUAGGCACACGGGUAUAUACUCCAUUUUCAAAAGGCUACAGAUUGUUUCACUUGCAAUUAGAGAAUGCACUACUAAGUGUUUCAAGUAUUCCAAAAACAGUUAUCGAAAGCUUGGAAUAGUAAUUUUAACAGGGACUUCCAUAGAGGAGGAAACACCACCAAGACAUUACAGUGUAAUGACCAUGUUUUAAAAGGUUACACGUUCAGAUGAGUCUGCAAUCCUAUAAAGAACAUAUUCUUCAUUAGCAUCAAAACUUAACUUUGUCUGAAAAGCUUAAAGCAAGAUUUUAUUAAAAAUAAUAACCUUAAAGACAUGUGUUUGACAACUUUAAUGACAAAAUCUUUAAUGAACUUUAACUCUAUAAACACAGUUAAGUAUACACCACAAACAUUCAUGAAUUUUAAUGGCAUACUACACACAUUAGAAUAAUUUGUUAA